UACAGGGGGCUCGAGCGUUAGUCGGAAUCACUGGGCUUAAAGGGUGCGUAGGUGGCUCGCCAAGUGCUUUGUGAAAUCCCACAGCUCAACUGUGGAACAGCAGGGCAAACUGGCGAGCUUGAGGCAGGUAGGGGCCGGAAGAACAGUUGGUGGAGCGGUGAAAUGCGUAGAUAUCAACUGGAAUGCCGAUGGGGAAGCCGUCCGGCUGGGCCUGUCCUGACACUGAGGCACGAAAGCGUGGGGAGCAAACAGG
rnacentral:rRNA from 1 species